UGCGGCUCCGAUGUUUUUAUUUUCAUUUCUGUUGCUCAUUUAAUUUUUCUUCUUUAAAUAAAUAACACUGUUGCUAGUAAAAAAUAAAAACCCCUCGAGAUGUGAAAUGCGACCUGUGUGAGCUUCGUGUGAUUUCUGCUGCAACUUGAGUUAGGCGAGCGAUCCCUUACGUUAAUGCUAACUCAGCGCGUUACAUACACACAGAAGAGGACAACAAACACGAGGCUCAUUUUGUCUUUUUUUUUAUUUGUUUUCUUUAGCACAGAGAUAUCUCAAUCUGUACACCAUCAGAAAUCUGCUGGGGAGUGGAGGCUUUGGAUCAGUGUACGAAGGUGUUCGUAGGAAAGAUGGACAGCAGGUUGCCAUUAAACACCUCCGUAAGGACGGCUCGGACCUGUACAUCACCGUUAUGUUCGACUACUGAAGCCUCAAAAAUCUCGUAAGGCCAUGGCAGUUUUCCAGCACAGGUGUGUGUCCCUCUGCAGCUGGGGACAGACCUGCUCCUCAACAGAGGAUAAGUAAAUGUCCAGUGCAGGCCUGUGGACACUCAUCACUUUUCUUCAGAUUCUCCCACUCAAGUUAUGGAGGAGAAUUUGGCAUACCGGCGCAAGCUGGUGCUGUUCCCAUCGAGCCCAGCACUUCUAUCAAGCACGGUCCCCACACCGAACCCACAUUCGGACUCUGGACAUGGACCCUGGACCCUCGGCAACCAGCACUCCCCAGCCCAGCAGCACUCCACCCUACGUGAUGGUCCAUCAGCCGAGACGUGUUCCUCCAACAGCAUUCAACCACCUGUGCCACGUCAACUACGUGCAUACAUUAGGUGAGUGGAAGGCCAACACUUGCAGAAAGUGUGGACAUCAGCAACUGGACAUAGCCAGGACAAGGCCAGAAUUUAUUGUCCAGUGACAGAGACGAUGACAAAAGCAGUUGCUCAAAAAAAUUAAGAAAAUAUAGAUAUGUUGCAUA